rnacentral:lncRNA from 1 species
UUUCAAACAAACCACCAGUGAACGUCUGUCUAUAAGUGAGGAGGAGCAGGACAUGGAUGCUUCAAUUGCUCUGAGUGCAGACCAUGGAUGUCUGCGGUGGACAAGAAAAGAGGCGCUCUGCUGGAUGGAGGCCAUGCAGAGGUGGUGUGAGGGAUCAGAUAUUGCCCAAGGGGGUCCACCAACGCAUCAUCCCCCAGCGAUGAGUAAGAUGAGAGGAGAGAGGCAAUGA